rnacentral:rRNA from 1 species
UACGAAGGGGGCUAGCGUUGCUCGGAAUCACUGGGCGUAAAGGGUGCGUAGGCGGGUCUUUUAAGUCAGGGGUGAAAUCCUGGAGCUCAACUCCAGAACUGCCUUUGAUACUGAGGAUCUUGAGUUCGGGAGAGGUGAGUGGAACUGCGAGUGUAGAGGUGAAAUUCGUAGAUAUUGGGAAGAACACCAGUGGCGAAGGCGGCUCACUGGCUCGUAUCUGACGCCUCAGGCGCGAUAGCGUGGGGAUCAAACAGG